AAAAUGGUUUAUUGAAAACAUGAAUAAUGACCCCACUCAGCCAUCACAUCCAUCCAAUCUAAUCCAUCACUAUCAAGCAACAAGGGAGGGGAAGGUGAUGCUAGGUGGGUGUGUGAGCGAUUGAUGCCAUGGGAAUUUGACACAUCAUGCUCGGAUUUUGAGAGCACAGCCCCAACCUCGCAGGCUUUACAUCAAAUCAAAUCAUCUCUUCAAUCUGCAUGCUGAGGUCUU
rnacentral:lncRNA from 1 species